GGGCCCAUAGCUCAGUUGGCAGAGCCACCGGCUCAUAACCGGAAGGUCCCAGGUUCGAUUCCUGGUGGGCCCACCA
rnacentral:tRNA from 2 species